UAUCUCUGUAGAGUCUGCAUAUCAAUAAGCGGAGGAAAAGAAACUAACAAGGAUUCCCUUAGUAACGGCGAGUGAAGCGGGAAGAGCUCAAAUUUGAAAUCUUCAAGGUUUUACCUUGACGAAUUGUAGUUUAAAGAAGUGUUUUCUGUUGAAGUUUUGGUAAAAGUUCUUUGGAAUAGGACAUCAUAGAGGGUGAGAAUCCCGUAUUUGACCAUUAUUUUCAGCUGUGUGAUACACUUUCAAAGAGUCGGAUUGUUUGGGAAUGCAGUCCAAAAUGGGUGGUAAAUUUCAUCUAAAGCUAAAUACUGGCGAGAGACCGAUAGCGAACAAGUACCGUGAGGGAAAGAUGAAAAGAACUUUGAAAAGAGAGUUAAACAGUACGUGAAAUUGUCAAAAGGGAAGCGUUUGACACCAGUGUUGUUUUCUCGAAAAUCAAUUAAAAAAGUCUAGGAUUUUGUGUUGUAUUGACCUUAAUCAGCUUUCUGCACUCUUUUCUUGUCUUUUUUAAUGCACUUUUCAUUUAACAAGUCAACAUCAGUUUCUUUUGUUGUAAAAGGGUCAUUGGAAGGUGGCUUUCUUUUCGGAGAAAGUGUUUAUAGCCUUUGGCCUCUGCAAUCGGAGAGAUUGAGGUCUGCAGCGUAGAUCCUUCGGGGUUAGAUACAUUUGUGCUAAGUUAUACCUUUUCAUAGACAACUUGUUGACUAUGAUCAGUCAUGUAGCUUACUCGCUUAUGCUAUUUUACCUACGCUUAGGAUGUUGAUCUGUAGUGCGUGCGC
rnacentral:rRNA from 1 species